GGGGGUCAUCCCGACUUACCAACCCGAUGCAAACUGCGAAUACCGGAGAAUGUUAUCACGGGAGACACACGGCGGGUGCUAACGUCCGUCGUGAAGAGGGAAACAACCCAGACCGCCAGCUAAGGUCCCAAAGUCAUGGUUAAGUGGGAAACGAUGUGGGAAGGCCCAGACAGCCAGGAUGUUGGCUUAGAAGCAGCCAUCAUUUAAAGAAAGCGUAAUAGCUCACUGGUCGAGUCGGCCUGCGCGGAAGAUGUAACGGGGCUAAACCAUGCACCGAAGCUGCGGCAGCGACACUAUGUGUUGUUGGGUAGGGGAGCGUUCUGUAAGCCUGUGAAGGUG
rnacentral:rRNA from 1 species